AGUGAACGCUGGCGGUAGGCCUAACACGUGCAAGUCGAACGGCAGCACAGUAAGAGCUUGCUCUUACGGGUGGCGAGUGGCGGACGGGUGAGGAAUACAUCGGAAUCUACUUUUUCGUGGGGGAUAACGUAGGGAAACUUACGCUAAUACCGCAUACGACCUACGGGUGAAAGCAGGGGAUCUUCGGACCUUGCGCGAUUGAAUGAGCCGAUGUCGGAUUAGCUAGUUGGCGGGGUAAAGGCCCACCAAGGCGACGAUCCGUAGCUGGUCUGAGAGGAUGAUCGGCCACACUGGAACUGAGACACGGUCCAGACUCCUACGGGAGGCAGCAGUGGGGAAUAUUGGACAAUGGGCGCAAGCCUGAUCCAGCCAUACCGCGUGGGUGAAGAAGGCCUUCGGGUUGUAAAGCCCUUUUGUUGGGAAGGAAAAGCAGCAGGUUAAUACCCCGCUGUUCUGACGGUACCCAAAGAAUAAGCACCGGCUAACUUCGUG
rnacentral:rRNA from 1 species